rnacentral:rRNA from 1 species
CUCGGAGAUAGCUGGUUCUCCCCGAAAUAGCUUUAGGGCUAGCCUCAUGUUAGAUAUCCGGAGGUAAAGCACUGAAUGGCCUAGCGUCCGAGAGGAUAGCGAAGCCUAUCAAACUAAGAAUGCCGGAAUAUUGAUGCAUGGGAGUCAGACAGUGUGAGAUAAAUCUCAUUGUCAAAAGGGAAACAGCCCAGAUCUACAGCUAAGGUCCCAAAUUGUAUCUAAGUGGAAAACGAUGUGGAAAUACGCAGACAACCAGGAUGUUGGCUCAGAAGCAGCCACUCAUUUAAAGAGUGCGUAAUAGCUCACUGGUCGAGCGUCUCUGCGCGGAAAAUUUAACGGGGCUAAGAUACAAACCGAAGCUUAGGCUGCACGAAAGUGCGGGGUAGGGGAGCGUUGUGUAAGCGGAGAAACAGUAGCGUAAGCGGCUGUGGAGUUUACAGAAGUGAGAAUGCCGGAAUGAGUAGCGCGAAUGUGGUGAGAAUCCACAUGGCCGGAAACCUCAGGUUUUUGGAGGAAGGUUCGUCCGCUCCAAGUUAGGCGGGAGCUAAGGUCAGGCCGAAAGGCGUAGCCGAUGCACAGACGGUAGAGAUUCCGUCCCCACCGAAAGAUUUAAGCACAGGGACACUUUUUGAAGGUCGGAGCCAGGUGUUGGUUCUGGUAGUGAUCGAGGGAAAUAUAGUACCGAAGUCCGGCUGGAAGAGAGGCGAGAAAAGCUGUGUGUAUAUCUAAGGUGCCCGUACCGCAAACCGACACAGGUAGGUAGGAAGAAGAUUCUAAGGCCAACGGGAGAAGGGUUGUUAAGGAACUCGGCAAGUUGACCCCGUAACUUCGGAAUAAGGGGUGCUCACGAGAGUGAGCCGCAGAGAAUAGGCCCAGGCAACUGUUUACCAAAAACACAGGUUUGUGCUAAAUCGAAAGAUGACGUAUACGAGCUGACGCCUGCCCGGUGCUGGAAGGUUAAAAGGAGAUGUGCAAGCAUUGAAUUGAAGCCCCAGUGAACGGCGGCCGUAACUAUAACGGUCCUAAGGUAGCGAAAUUCCUUGUCAGGUAAGUUCUGACCCGCAUGAAAGGCGUAAUGAUCUGGGCACUGUCUCAACAGCCCGCCCGGCGAAAUUGUAGUACCGGUGAAGAUGCCGGUUACCCGCGACAAGACGGAAAGACCCCAUGGAGCUUUACUGUAGCCUGAUAUUGGGUUUCGGUGUUGCAUGCACAGGAUAGAUGGGACGCUGGGAAGGCAGUGCUUUGGCAUUGCUGGAGCGGACGUUGGGAUACCAUCCUUGCGACAUUGGAAUUCUAACCUGCGCCUCUGAAUCGAGGCGGGGGACAUUGUCAGGUGGGCAGUUUGACUGGGGCGGUCGCCUCCUAAAAAGUAGCGGAGGCGUUCAAAGGUUCGUUCGAUCUGGACGGAAACCAGAUGAUUGAGUGCAAACGCAUAAACGAGCCUGACUGCGAGACUGACGGGUCGAGCAGAGACGAAAGUCGGAGUUAGUGAUCCGGUGGUAUGUGAGUGGAAAUGCCAUCGCUCAACGGAUAAAAGUUACCCUGGGGAUAACAGGCUGAUCUCCCCCAAGAGUCCACAUCGACGGGGAGGUU